CCGUAAAUAAAUAAAUUAAUAAUAAUAAUAAAUGCCAACGGAACCCUAUUACUAAGCCCCAGUGGGAUGUAUAUUGCGAACCAUAAUAGGUAGAGAGAUGAAAUUCUUACAGAAUGUGUAUUUUCGCUAUAAAACAACAAACGGUAAAAAAUCAAAAUUGCUGCCUUGAAAAUUAAAAAAAUUAAAAAGUGUUAUGGUGCGGAACCCUUCGUGUGUGAGUCCGACUCCCACUUUGACCGAUUUUUUCAAGAAUUUUAUGUACUCGUGAUACACGCGCCAUCAAGACGUAUCUAAUAACGUAUCUUUUAUCAAAAUCGGUUGAGCCGUUUAGUAGUUACGAGCGGGCAUAGGAACGAACAUACAUACCUACAUUUAAAACAACUUUUCCUGUAUUGGCCCUUAAAAUCUUUAUGGCAAUGUACAAACCUAUAAUAUACGAAACGAGAAGCUUAAAUUGCCUGUAAAUAGUUAAAUAAGGAUUUGUAAUGACAAUUCGGUAUCUGUUGGUGAUUUUCACUAUUAAUUUUUUUUUAAUGCACAGUUUAUUCAAAAAACGCAUUUUUUGUUUAGGUUUUUCUAUUAACCAAAAUUAAUGUUGUAUGCUCAUUGAUUAUAGCAUGGUAAUUUAAGAUCAAUAAUAAUGUACCUACAUGUAAAU